UUGAUUUUGGUCAAAGUCAAACUGCUUCAAGUUUGACCAAGUUUAUAGAAAAAAUAGUAAUAUUUUCGACCCAAGAUAAAUUUAUUAUAAAUAUAUAUUUAAUUAUUAAUUUAAUAAAACUAAUUUGGUAAUGUAAAUAUUACUAUAUUUGUCUAUAAACUUAGUCAAACUUGAAGCAGUUUGACUUUAACAAAAGUCAA
rnacentral:pre_miRNA from 1 species